rnacentral:rRNA from 1 species
UACGUAGGGUGCAAGCGUUGUCCGGAAUUAUUGGGCGUAAAGAGCUUGUAGGCGGUUUGUCGCGUCUGCUGUGAAAUUUCGGGGCUCAACCCCGAACCUGCAGUGGGUACGGGCAGACUAGAGUGUGGUAGGGGAGACUGGAAUUCCUGGUGUAGCGGUGAAAUGCGCAGAUAUCUGGAGGAACACCGGUGGCGAAGGCGACGUCCUGGACCGGCAUUGACGCUGAGGCGCGAAAGCCAGGGGAGCAAACGGG